GCACAAGCGGUGGAGCAUGUGGUUCAAUUCGACGCAACGCGAAGAACCUUACCUGGGCUCGAAGCGUAGUGGACUGAGGUAGAAAUAUCUCUUUCCCGCAAGGGACUGCUACGUAGGUGCUGCAUGGCUGUCGUCAGCUCGUGUCGUGAGAUGUUGGGUUAAGUCCCGCAACGAGCGCAACCCUUAUCUUCAGUUGCUACCAUUUAGUUGAGCACUCUGACGAAACCGCCUCGGAUAACGGGGAGGAAGGUGGGGAUGACGUCAAGUCCUCAUGGCCUUUAUGUCCAGGGCUACACACGUGCUACAAUGGCCGGUACAAACCGCUGCAAACCCGCGAGGGGGAGCUAAUCGGAAAAAGCCGGCCUCAGUUCGGAUUGGAGUCUGCAACUCGACUCCAUGAAGCUGGAAUCGCUAGUAAUCGUGGAUCAGCAUGCCACGGUGAAUACGUUCCCGGGC
rnacentral:rRNA from 1 species